CGCAAGACCUCCUCCUAUGGGCGGAACACACAGGCCCAGGGUAUAGGGGGUAUACUACCCCUUCUGAUCUCAGGAUGAGAUUUCUGGGGUUUGGACACCCCUUGACCCCACUCUUGCUCCGGGUCUGCUCCCCAUGGCUCCACCGCUCCCCAGCUCCAGAGUGAAGCCCUCUGCCACAGCCUGACUCAGCUCUCAAGCUCUCUCAUUUACCGAUAACUCUGGGGCCUAAAAGAAAGUAUUGGGGAAUUCUAGCUCAGGCAGGCUGUCUGGACGAAGCAAGUGGCAUUAAAUUUUAGGACUAUGAUGAACAAAGGUACUCUAGUUAGGAAGCAGGCAGAAAGUAUACCCUAUCGGAGGGGCUGAAAAAUGACCUGAGUGACUGAGACAAGAUACACAGGGGGAAAGAUGGGACAAGAUGAACCUGUUUUAAGAGAAAGCUAAGGGAACAAUCCAGUUGCUGGUGGGAAAAGAAGAUGCAGAAAAUAAGGUGGGCAAGCAUAUGGCGAGAGGAAACAGCCGAGGGCAGGAUGCACUGUAGUUCAGAAGGAGCCUGGACGUGUCCGUGUUCUCUGUCACACUGUAUUACACACAGCGUUUCAUUCCCAUGUUUCUCCUUCUCCUGUGAAAGCGUCUGCCCUUCAAGAUUAUUGAACAAAUCACAUUAAACAGCAUCAUACAAAUCCCA